rnacentral:rRNA from 1 species
ACGGAGGGUGAAAGCGUUACUCGGAAUCACUGGGCGUAAAGAGCGUGUAGGCGGGUAUAUAAGUCAGAAGUGAAAUCCAAUAGCUUAACUAUUGAAAUGCUUUUGAAACUGUGUACCUAGAAUGUGGAAGAGGUAGAUGGAAUUUCUGGUGUAGGGGUAAAAUCCGUAGAGAUCAGAAGGAAUACCGAUUGCGUAGGCGAUCUACUGGAACAUUAUGGUCGCUGAGACGCGAAAGCGUGGUGAGCAAACAG